GACGAACGCUGGCGGCGUGCCUAAUACAUGCAAGUAGAACGCUGAAGAGAGGAGCUUGCUCUUCUUGGAUGAGUUGCGAACGGGUGAGUAACGCGUAGGUAACCUGCCUGGUAGCGGGGGAUAACUAUUGGAAACGAUAGCUAAUACCGCAUAAAAUGGAUUAUCGCAUGAUAAUCCAUUGAAAGGUGCAAAUGCAUCACUACCAGAUGGACCUGCGUUGUAUUAGCUAGUUGGUGGGGUAACGGCUCACCAAGGCGACGAUACAUAGCCGACCUGAGAGGGUGAUCGGCCACACUGGGACUGAGACACGGCCCAGACUCCUACGGGAGGCAGCAGUAGGGAAUCUUCGGCAAUGGACGGAAGUCUGACCGAGCAACGCCGCGUGAGUGAAGAAGGUUUUCGGAUCGUAAAGCUCUGUUGUAAGAGAAGAACGAGUGUGAGAGUGGAAAGUUCACACUGUGACGGCUCUUACCAGAAAGG
rnacentral:rRNA from 1 species